GGAGGAGGAGGAGGAGGGACUCGGCGGGAGGAUGGGCUUGCUCUCAAUUUUGCGCAAAUUGAAAAGUGCACCAGACCAGGAGGUGAGAAUUCUUCUCCUGGGCUUGGAUAAUGCUGGCAAGACCACUCUUCCAAAGCAGCUUGCAUCUGAAGACAUCAGCCACAUUACACCUACACAGGGAUUUCACAUCAAAAGUGUACAAUCACAAGGUUUUAAACUGAAUGUAUGGGACAUUGGUAGACAGAGAAAAAUCAGACCAUACUGGAGAAAUUAUUUUGAAAAUACUGGUAUUCUCAUAUAUGUAAUGGACAGUGCAGACAGAAAAAGAUUUGAAGAGACGGGUCAGGAACUAGCUGAAUUACUGGAGGAAGAAAAACUAAGUUGUGUGCCAGUGCUCAUCUUUGCUAACAAGCAGGAUUUGCUCACGGCAGCCCCUGCCUCUGAAAUUGCAGAAGGACUAAACCUGCAUACCAUCCGCGACCGCGUCUGGCAGAUCCAGUCCUGCUCAGCUCUCACAGGAGAGGGCGUUCAGGACGGCACGAACUGGGUCUGCAAAAAUGUCAAUGCAAAGAAGAAAUAAAAUCUAGCCGAACGGAGAGACGCAGGAGCUGUGGGAGCUGAAUUCUGUCCUGAAAAACACUAAUUUGCUGCUUUCUGACCAAAUGUUUUUCCAUCUGCGUACAGCUACAGCUGUUUGAAGGCAGGGAACCACACAGUUUAUAAAGAAUCCCCGUUCCAGCAGCUUUAACUGAUCUCUGAGGCUCAGUAUCAUUCUUCAAAUAAAGGAAUUAUAUUAUUUCCUCU